AAUCAACGCUGGCGGCGUGCCUCAGACAUGCAAGUCGAACGCGAAAGUCCCCUUCGGGGGACAAGUAGAGUGGCGCACGGGUGAGUAACACGUAGGUAAUCUACCUUCGGAUGGGGAAUAACAACCGGAAACGGUUGCUAAUACCGCAUAAUGCAGCGGCACCUAAUGGUGACAGUUGUUAAAGCGGGGGAUUGAAAGACCUCGCGUCUGAAGAGGAGCCUGCGGCGGAUUAGCUUGNGGUAGGGUAACGGCCUACCAAGGCGACGAUCCGUAGCCGGCCUGAGAGGGCGGGUCGGCCACACUGACACUGACAUACGGGUCAGACUCCUACGGGAGGCAGCAGUCGGGAAUUUUGGGCAAUGGGCGAAAGCCUGACCCAGCAACGCCGCGUGAAGGAUGAAAUCCCUCGGGAUGUAAACUUCGCAAGAACGGGAAGAAUAAGUAGGGGACAACACCCCCUA
rnacentral:rRNA from 1 species